rnacentral:rRNA from 1 species
UUAAGCGACUAAGCGUACACGGUGGAUGCCCUGGCAGUCAGAGGCGAUGAAGGACGUGCUAAUCUGCGAAAAGCGUCGGUAAGGUGAUAUGAACCGUUAUAACCGGCGAUGUCCGAAUGGGGAAACCCAGUGUGAUUCGUCACACUAUCGUUAACUGAAUACAUAGGUUAACGAGGCGAACCGGGGGAACUGAAACAUCUAAGUACCCCGAGGAAAAGAAAUCAACCGAGAUUCCCCCAGUAGCGGCGAGCGAACGGGGAGCAGCCCAGAGUCUGAAUCAGCUUGUGUGUUAGUGGAACGGUCUGGAAAGUCCGACGGUACAGGGUGAUAGUCCCGUACACCAAAAUGCACAGGCUGUGAACUCGAAGAGUAGGGCGGGACACGUGGUAUCCUGUCUGAAUAUGGGGGGACCAUCCUCCAAGGCUAAAUACUCCUGACUGACCGAUAGUGAACCAGUACCGUGAGGGAAAGGCGAAAAGAACCCCGGCGAGGGGAGUGAAAAAGAACCUGAAACCGUGUACGUACAAGCAGUGGGAGCACCUUCGGGUGUGACUGCGUACCUUUUGUAUAAUGGGUCAGCGACUUAUAUUCUGUAGCAAGGUUAACCGUAUAGGGGAGCCGCAGGGAAACCGAGUCUUAACUGGGCGUUAAGUUGCAGGGUAUAGACCCGAAACCCGGUGAUCUAGCCAUGGGCAGGUUGAAGGUUGGGUAACACUAACUGGAGGACCGAACCGACUAAUGUUGAAAAAUUAGCGGAUGACUUGUGGCUGGGGGUGAAAGGCCAAUCAAACCGGGAGAUAGCUGGUUCUCCCCGAAAGCUAUUUAGGUAGCGCCUCGUGAACUNNNNNNNNNNGUAGAGCACUGUUUCGGCUAGGGGGUCAUCCCGACUUACCAACCCGAUGCAAACUACGAAUACCGAAGAAUGUUAUCACGGGAGACACACGGCGGGUGCUAACGUCCGUCGUGAAGAGGGAAACAACCCAGACCGCCAGCUAAGGUCCCAAAGUCAUGGUUAAGUGGGAAACGAUGUGGGAAGGCACAGACAGCCAGGAUGUUGGCUUAGAAGCAGCCAUCAUUUAAAGAAAGCGUAAUAGCUCACUGGUCGAGUCGGCCUGCGCGGAAGAUGUAACGGGGCUAAACCAUGCACCGAAGCUGCGGCAGCGACACUAUGUGUUGUUGGGUAGGGGAGCGUUCUGUAAGCCUGCGAAGGUGUGCUGUGAGGCAUGCUGGAGGUAUCAGAAGUGCGAAUGCUGACAUAAGUAACGAUAAAGCGGGUGAAAAGCCCGCUCGCCGGAAGACCAAGGGUUCCUGUCCAACGUUAAUCGGGGCAGGGUGAGUCGACCCCUAAGGCGAGGCCGAAAGGCGUAGUCGAUGGGAAACAGGUUAAUAUUCCUGUACUUGGUGUUACUGCGAAGGGGGGACGGAGAAGGCUAUGUUAGCCGGGCGACGGUUGUCCCGGUUUAAGCAUGUAGGCUGGUUGUCCAGGCAAAUCCGGAUAAUCAAGGCUGAGGUGUGAUGACGAGGCACUACGGUGCUGAAGUAACAAAUGCCCUGCUUCCAGGAAAAGCCUCUAAGCAUCAGGUAACAUCAAAUCGUACCCCAAACCGACACAGGUGGUCAGGUAGAGAAUACCAAGGCGCUUGAGAGAACUCGGGUGAAGGAACUAGGCAAAAUGGUGCCGUAACUUCGGGAGAAGGCACGCUGGUGUGUAGGUGAAGUCCCUGCGGAUGGAGCUGAGACCAGUCGAAGAUACCAGCUGGCUGCAACUGUUUAUUAAAAACACAGCACUGUGCAAACACGAAAGUGGACGUAUACGGUGUGACGCCUGCCCGGUGCCGGAAGGUUAAUUGAUGGGGUUAUCCGUAAGGAGAAGCUCUUGAUCGAAGCCCCGGUAAACGGCGGCCGUAACUAUAACGGUCCUAAGGUAGCGAAAUUCCUUGUCGGGUAAGUUCCGACCUGCACGAAUGGCGUAAUGAUGGCCAGGCUGUCUCCACCCGAGACUCAGUGAAAUUGAACUCGCUGUGAAGAUGCAGUGUACCCGCGGCAAGACGGAAAGACCCCGUGAACCUUUACUAUAGCUUGACACUGAACAUUGAGCCUUGAUGUGUAGGAUAGGUGGGAGGCUUUGAAGCGUGGACGCCAGUCUGCGUGGAGCCAACCUUGAAAUACCACCCUUUAAUGUUUGAUGUUCUAACGUUGGCCCCUGACCGGGGUUGCGGACAGUGUCUGGUGGGUAGUUUGACUGGGGCGGUCUCCUCCCAAAGCGUAACGGAGGAGCACGAAGGUUAGCUAAUCCUGGUCGGACAUCAGGAGGUUAGUGCAAUGGCAUAAGCUAGCUUGACUGCGAGCGUGACGGCGCGAGCAGGUGCGAAAGCAGGUCAUAGUGAUCCGGUGGUUCUGAAUGGAAGGGCCAUCGCUCAACGGAUAAAAGGUACUCCGGGGAUAACAGGCUGAUACCGCCCAAGAGUUCAUAUCGACGGCGGUGUUUGGCACCUCGAUGUCGGCUCAUCACAUCCUGGGGCUGAAGUAGGUCCCAAGGGUAUGGCUGUUCGCCAUUUAAAGUGGUACGCGAGCUGGGUUUAGAACGUCGUGAGACAGUUCGGUCCCUAUCUGCCGUGGGCGCUGGAGAAUUGAGGGGGCUGCUCCUAGUACGAGAGGACCGGAGUGGACGCAUCACUGGUGUUCGGGUUGUCAUGCCAAUGGCACUGCCCGGUAGCUAAAUGCGGAAGAGAUAAGUGCUGAAAGCAUCUAAGCACGAAACUUGCCCCGAGAUGAGUUCUCCCUGAGACUUUAAGUCUCCUGAAGGAACGUUAAAGACGAUGACGUUGAUAGGCCGGGUGUGUAAGCGCAGCGAUGCGUUGAGCUAACCGGUACUAAUGAACCGUGAGGCUUAACCUU